AUGGUUAUUUCCAAUCUCCUUCAGACAGCUUCAAAACCUGGUAUGUGGAGUCCUACUCUGAGGAGGGUUCCUUCGCUGUCUAUGACAGAGGCACUGGAAAGGGCUUCCACGUCCCACAUUGACUUAGAUUUUCUAGCCUCACCGGGGCAGAUGAGCUAUCCAGAUUCCCCUGGCCUCGAGCGUUCAGUCUUUCGUGGGAGAACUGUCAAGCCAUCUUCGCAGCGCUUCAUGCGGCAGGUAAACUGCCUCUUCUCAUCAUCGGUCUCACUGUUCCACAAAUUGCAGAUCAUCUUUCCUAAACCAGGGCCCCAGAGCUUCUUGCUCUUUCCUAAACGUGGGGCCCCAGAUGUCCCACAAGUGCUAUCUAGCACAACCAAGUGUGGUCACGGGUCCUUGAAAUUCUAUGCCACGAACAUCUCAGGCCCCACAGUUGGGAAUCUCUGCUCUGGAUCUUGCUUCUUUCACUGUUUGCCGUACAGGAGCUGUUCUUUAUUGAUUCUUCCAGGAUGACAAGGCGAUCAUUUAAGUCUACCCGUUCUGGAGCAAAGGUUCUAAACUCUGUCUGCAUACUGUUGUCUUAUGUACACAGUCCUGGCCUUAUUAUGAGACAGUUAGGCGGCAGCAGCAGCUGGCAGCUGCUGAAGGAGAAUCCCUAGUCAUUCAUUUGCCGAGUCUUGGACAACAGAGCUGUGCAUGAGCGGCACGGUAGUUGUCUUAUGUACAUAGUCCUGGCCUUAUUAUGAAACAGAGUGAGGCAGCAGCAGCAGCUGGCAGCUGCUGACGGAGAAUCCCUAGUCAUUCAUUUGCUGAGUCUUAGACAACAGAGCUGUGCAUGAGCGGCACGGUCUGCCCUGCUUGACUGAUAUCUGGGAUGGGAGGCUGUUCCUUUGCCACUGUGAACUAGAGGCAUAAAAUUUAACUGAAACCUUGAAAGACCUUGAAAUAUGUGAAAUACUUCCUUACGCAUCAAGUGAAAACUUAUUUUAACAAUUUGGUCACAUAAGCCAAUGUCUUAGUGCUGAGCUGCACCUUCACAAGGAAGGAUAUCAUCAUCAAUGGUGGAUUGCUGCUGAUUAAAGGCUUUCUUUGGAAAAGGGGACUCUUUAAUUGGCAGCAGCAAUCUGCCCCUGAUCAUGGCAUUCUUCUCAUUCUGUAAGCAGGAGUACGCAACAGGGUACUGCGCAUAUUCAUUCAUUUAUUCUUUCACUCGUUCAUUCACUCACUCAUUCGUUCUACUCCACCCCCACCCCCACCCCAAAAAAGGCUCCAGCAAAAUGCUUCAUUGUGCAAAGGAGAGAAAAUCUGGCUUAAAGCAAAUGUGGUGGUUGAAUUUAUACCCCUCCAAGGAGGUGACAGGAGGUCUCCAAACAAACAAAGAAACCUUUGUUUCCUUCACACAGGGAGAUUUUCACCUUCUAAAAAUUCACUAGUUGGGCUGGAUUAUCACAGAAUCAUAGAAUAAUUUGAGUUGGAAGGGGUCCUAUCCAGCCAUUGAGUCCAGCCCCCUGCUCAAGGCAGGAAUCCAGAGCAAAGCAAAUAAAGAUUACACAACUACGGAUCA
rnacentral:lncRNA from 1 species